GAUGAACGCUGGCGGCGUGCUUAACACAUGCAAGUCGAACGGAAAGGCUCCUGCUUGCAGGGGUACUCGAGUGGCGAACGGGUGAGUAACACGUGGGUGAUCUGCCCUGCACUUCGGGAUAAGCCUGGGAAACUGGGUCUAAUACCGGAUAGGACGAUGGUUUGGAUGCCAUUGUGGAAAGUUUUUUCGGUGUGGGAUGAGCUCGCGGCCUAUCAGCUUGUUGGUGGGGUAAUGGCCUACCAAGGCGUCGACGGGUCGCCGGCCUGAGAGGGUGUACGGCCACAUUGGGACUGAGAUACGGCCCAGACUCCUACGGGAGGCAGCAGUGGGGAAUAUUGCACAAUGGGCGCAAGCCUGAUGCAGCGACGCCGCGUGGGGGAUGACGGCCUUCGGGUUGUAAACUCCUUUCGCUAGGGACGAAGCGCAAGUGACGGUACCUGGAGAAGAAGCACCGGCUAACUACGUG
rnacentral:rRNA from 1 species